GGGGAGCUUCCCAUACGGGUUGAAGCAUGACCGUAAGGACAUGUGGACAGUAUGGGAGUGAGAAUGUUGGCAUGAGUAGCGAGAUGUGGGUGAGAAUCCCACAGGCCGUAAACCCAAGGUUUCCAGGGGAAGGUUCGUCCGCCCUGGGUUAGUCGGGACCUAAGCUGAGGCCGAAAGGCGUAGGUGAUGGACAACAGGUUGAUAUUCCUGUACUACCGAUAACCGUUUGAGAGAAGGGAUGACACAGUAGGAUAAGCUAAGCACACUGUUGGUUAUGUGUGCCCAAGCAUUGAGGCAGUCAAAGUAGGCAAAUCCGCUUUGAUAAUGCUGGGAUGUGAUGGGGAGCGAAAUUUAGUAGCGAAGUAGCUGAUUUCACACUGUCAAGAAAAGUCUCUAUCGAGGUUAAAGGUACCCGUACCGCAAACCGACACAGGUGGGUGAGGAGAGUAUCCUAAGGCCAGCGAGAGAACUGUUGUUAAGGAACUCGGCAAAAUGACCCCGUAACUUAGGGAUAAGGGGUGCCACCAUCAGGUGGCCGCAGAGAAUAGGCCCAAGCGACUGUUUACCAAAAACAUAGGUUUCUGCUAAGUCGCAAGACGAUGUAUAGGAGCUGACGCCUGCCCGGUGCUGGAAGGUUAAGGGGAUCUGUUAGAGCAAUCGAAGCAGUGAACUUAAGCCCCAGUAAACGGCGGCCGUAACUAUAACGGUCCUAAGGUAGCGAAAUUCCUUGUCGGGUAAGUUCCGACCCGCACGAAAGGCGUAACGAUUUGGGCACUGUCUCAACAACAGACUCGGUGAAAUUGUAAUUCCGGUGAAGAUGCCGGAUACCUGCGACAGGACGGAAAGACCCCAUGGAGCUUUACUGUAGCUUGACAUUGGGUCUUGGUACUACAU
rnacentral:rRNA from 1 species